GUGCCAUUAUUCUCCUUUUUCACCAAGAGGCCGGCAUGGUUGGCGUCAUGCCCUGCCUCCUCCUUAUCCUCUUCCUAGAGCCGCGCGCCGUCGCCGCCGCCUACUCGGAGUACUCGUGCAAUGGCACCACCGGCAACUACACGGCGAGCGACGCCUUCGGGGCUAACCUCGCGCGCCUCACCGCCGAGCUCCCCAUCAACGCCUCCACCUCUCCAUCCCUCUACGCCUCGGCGGCCAUCGGCACCUCCUCGGAUAAAGUCUCCGCCCUCGCGCUCUGCCGCGGUGACAUCACGGACGCCAGGACGUGCUCCGGCUGCCUCGACAACGCAUUCCAGCAGCUGCGGGCGCUCUGCGCCGGCGAGAGGGA
rnacentral:rRNA from 1 species